rnacentral:rRNA from 1 species
GAUCCUGGCUCAGGACGAACGCUGGCGGCGUGCCUAACACAUGCAAGUCGAGCGGAGAUGUACAGACGGAAGGCUUCGGCUGGAAGACGGUGCAUUUUAGCGGCGGACGGGUGAGUAACGCGUGAGCAACCUUUCCUUCACAGGGGGAUAAGAUACCGAAAGGUGUUCUAAUACCGCAUGAGACCACAGAGCCACAUGGUUCAGGGGUCAAAGGAGGAAUCCGGUGAAGGGUGGGCUCGCGUCCGA